UUAAGCGACUAAGCGUACACGGUGGAUGCCCUGGCAGUCAGAGGCGAUGAAGGACGUGCUAAUCUGCGAUAAGCGUCGGUGAGGUGAUAUGAACCGUUAUAACCGGCGAUUUCCGAAUGGGGAAACCCAGUGUGUUUCGACACACUAUCAUUAACUGAAUCCAUAGGUUAAUGAGGCGAACCGGGGGAACUGAAACAUCUAAGUACCCCGAGGAAAAGAAAUCAACCGAGAUUCCCCCAGUAGCGGCGAGCGAACGGGGAGGAGCCCAGAGCCUGAAUCAGUGUGUGUGUUAGUGGAAGCGUCUGGAAAGGCGCGCGAUACAGGGUGACAGCCCCGUACACAAAAAUGCACAUACUGUGAGCUCGAUGAGUAGGGCGGGACACGUGGUAUCCUGUCUGAAUAUGGGGGGACCAUCCUCCAAGGCUAAAUACUCCUGACUGACCGAUAGUGAACCAGUACCGUGAGGGAAAGGCGAAAAGAACCCCGGCGAGGGGAGUGAAAAAGAACCUGAAACCGUGUACGUACAAGCAGUGGGAGCCUCUUAAUGGGGUGACUGCGUACCUUUUGUAUAAUGGGUCAGCGACUUAUAUUCUGUAGCAAGGUUAACCGAAUAGGGGAGCCGAAGGGAAACCGAGUCUUAACUGGGCGUUAAGUUGCAGGGUAUAGACCCGAAACCCGGUGAUCUAGCCAUGGGCAGGUUGAAGGUUGGGUAACACUAACUGGAGGACCGAACCGACUAAUGUUGAAAAAUUAGCGGAUGACUUGUGGCUGGGGGUGAAAGGCCAAUCAAACCGGGAGAUAGCUGGUUCUCCCCGAAAGCUAUUUAGGUAGCGCCUCGUGAAUUCAUCUCCGGGGGUAGAGCACUGUUUCGGCAAGGGGGUCAUCCCGACUUACCAACCCGAUGCAAACUGCGAAUACCGGAGAAUGUUAUCACGGGAGACACACGGCGGGUGCUAACGUCCGUCGUGAAGAGGGAAACAACCCAGACCGCCAGCUAAGGUCCCAAAGUCAUGGUUAAGUGGGAAACGAUGUGGGAAGGCCCAGACAGCCAGGAUGUUGGCUUAGAAGCAGCCAUCAUUUAAAGAAAGCGUAAUAGCUCACUGGUCGAGUCGGCCUGCGCGGAAGAUGUAACGGGGCUAAACCAUGCACCGAAGCUGCGGCAGCGACACUAUGUGUUGUUGGGUAGGGGAGCGUUCUGUAAGCCUGUGAAGGUGUACUGUGAGGUAUGCUGGAGGUAUCAGAAGUGCGAAUGCUGACAUAAGUAACGAUAAAGCGGGUGAAAAGCCCGCUCGCCGGAAGACCAAGGGUUCCUGUCCAACGUUAAUCGGGGCAGGGUGAGUCGACCCCUAAGGCGAGGCCGAAAGGCGUAGUCGAUGGGAAACAGGUUAAUAUUCCUGUACUUGGUGUUACUGCGAAGGGGGGACGGAGAAGGCUAUGUUGGCCGGGCGACGGUUGUCCCGGUUUAAGCGUGUAGGCUGGUUUUCCAGGCAAAUCCGGAAAAUCAAGGCUGAGGCGUGAUGACGAGGCACUACGGUGCUGAAGCGACAAAUGCCCUGCUUCCAGGAAAAGCCUCUAAGCAUCAGGUAACAUCAAAUCGUACCCCAAACCGACACAGGUGGUCAGGUAGAGAAUACCAAGGCGCUUGAGAGAACUCGGGUGAAGGAACUAGGCAAAAUGGUGCCGUAACUUCGGGAGAAGGCACGCUGAUAUGUAGGUGAAGCGACUUGCUCGUGGAGCUGAAAUCAGUCGAAGAUACCAGCUGGCUGCAACUGUUUAUUAAAAACACAGCACUGUGCAAACACGAAAGUGGACGUAUACGGUGUGACGCCUGCCCGGUGCCGGAAGGUUAAUUGAUGGGGUUAGCGGUAACGCGAAGCUCUUGAUCGAAGCCCCGGUAAACGGCGGCCGUAACUAUAACGGUCCUAAGGUAGCGAAAUUCCUUGUCGGGUAAGUUCCGACCUGCACGAAAGGCGCAACGACUUGGGCGCUGUCUCGACCAUGGACCCGGUGAAAUUGCACUGGUCGUGAAGAUGCGACUUACCCGCGGAAGGACGGAAAGACCCCGUGAACCUUCACUGCAGCUUGGCAUUGGCCGCUGGUCCCGCGUGUAGAGGAUAGGCAGGAGGCAUCGAUCCGGAGGCGCCAGCCCCCGGGGAGCCGCCCUUGGAAUACUGCCCUCGCGCGACCGGCGUCCUAACCCGAGGCCGUCACCCGGCUCGGGGACCGUGCCAGGCGGGCAGUUUGACUGGGGCGGUCGCCUCCUAAAGGGUAACGGAGGCGCGCGAAGGUCCGCUCGGGACGGUCGGCAACCGUCCUUUUGAAUGCAAGAGUACAAGCGGGCUUGACUGCGAGGCCCACGAGCCGAGCAGGUGCGAAAGCAGGCUCUAGUGAUCCGGCGGCCCCGAGUGGGUGGGCCGUCGCUCAACGGAUAAAAGGUACUCCGGGGAUAACAGGCUGAUCUUGCCCAAGAGUCCACAUCGACGGCAAGGUUUGGCACCUCGAUGUCGGCUCAUCGCAUCCUGGGGCUGGAGCAGGUCCCAAGGGUACGGCUGUUCGCCGUUUAAAGCGGUACGCGAGCUGGGUUCAGAACGUCGUGAGACAGUUCGGUCCCUAUCCUCCGUGGGCGCAGGAGAAUCGAUGGAGGCUGCCCCCAGUACGAGAGGACCGGGGUGGACGCACCUCCGGUGAACCGGUUGUCGACCAACGGCACGGCCGGGUAGCCGCGUGCGGCGCGGAUAACCGCUGAAGGCAUCUAAGCGGGAAGCCGUUCCAGGGAUUAGUUCUCCUUCCGGUAAGGGCCCAGGUAGACUACCUGGUCGAUAGACGGCAGGUGCAAGGGCGGCGACGCCCUCAGCCGAGCCGCACUAAUCGCCCGAGCUCUUCCGG
rnacentral:rRNA from 1 species